CCUACGGGGGGCAGCAGUGGGGAAUAUUGCACAAUGGGCGCAAGCCUGAUGCAGCCAUGCCGCGUGUGUGAAGAAGGCCUUCGGGUUGUAAAGCACUUUCAGCGGGGAGGAAGGCGUUGAGGUUAAUAACCUUAUCGAUUGACGUUACCCGCAGAAGAAGCACCGGCUAACUCCGUGCCAGCAGCCGCGGUAAUACGGAGGGUGCAAGCGUUAAUCGGAAUUACUGGGCGUAAAGCGCACGCAGGCGGCCUGUCAAGUCGGAUGUGAAAUCCCCGGGCUCAACCUGGGAACUGCAUUCGAAACUGGCAGGCUAGAGUCUUGUAGAGGGGGGUAGAAUUCCAGGUGUAGCGGUGAAAUGCGUAGAGAUCUGGAGGAAUACCGGUGGCGAAGGCGGCCCCCUGGACAAAGACUGACGCUCAGGUGCGAAAGCGUGGGGAGCAAACAGGAUUAGAUACCCGAGUAGUC
rnacentral:rRNA from 1 species